AGCAGCUGAAGGUCCCACGUGCUCCUCAAAAGAAAUUAACUCAUCUCCAGAUAAUCAUCAGAGUCCAACUAAGCGGCUAAUAGAACAGAACAGGACGUGAAAGCAAACAGCCCUUCAAACCCACAGGCCUGUACAUCAAAGGAGUGGUCAACUCCUGAGCACAGUCAGCAGAGCAGCUGCUUUGCCUCUGGGAACAUGCGGGAGAUAGGAGGCUUCCUCCUUAACCCUACUGCAGAGGACUUCUCCUCUUUUACCAGCAGCCUCCUGCAGUACCCUCCCGGGUAAUGGAGCAGGGGUCGCUUCCCUUCCCAUGAGACCUUUGUUCAGGCACUCAAGUGGAAGGUUGAGCAAUAAGCCAACUUUCUUGCUCAGAGGCUCCGCAGACUUCCUGUGGUUGUUUGUUCCACUCUGUGGUCAGUGGAGCAAGCUCACCGCCUGAUUCUCUUAUUGUUGGACUAAGCACAAGCUAUUAUACUUAUGAUUCAUAAUCAUAUUAGUAAAGCACUAUUCUAAAGCA
rnacentral:lncRNA from 1 species